GCGCUAGGAUUACAUGUGUGA
rnacentral:miRNA from 1 species